GGCCUUAUAGCAUAGCGGUCAAUGCGCCUCCCCGUCGAGGAGGAUGACGCCGGUUCGAAUCCGGCUAAGGUCG
rnacentral:tRNA from 1 species